rnacentral:lncRNA from 1 species
CGGGAGUGCAGUGGCGCGAUCAUAGCGGGGACUACAAGUGUGCACCACAUGCUUGUCUACGAACCUGAAGUAUUCUGAUGCAGUGGAGAGAGUGUAGAACUCUGGAGUGAAGAGAUCUGCCUGGAACCCUGACUCUAUCACUAGCUUUGUCACUCCAAGAGAUGGCCCUGGGACUGAGAAGUGGAUGGCAGCUGUGACAGCAGGAGAGGACUGCCUGAGGCUCCCCGGGCAGAGGCUCUGGUGCCGGGUUAGCAGCAGGACCGACGGCAGACCCAGCAGCCAGAGAGUGAAAGGCCAGCUUCUCAGACCCCCUGGCCUGCUCCAUCCCGUCAACUCUCCCAGGAACUACCAGCACCCACCUAAGGGACACCAGCCGCCCUGUGAAAGGACAAGCCAGAGACCCCUGGAGAUCGGAUGUGGAAGGAUGUGGGGAGCUGCCUGGUCCUGUCUCCCACUGCCGCAGAGGGUAAGCCCUCUCAUACUGCGCCCGAACCCGCUGCCUCCAGGUGCCCCUGCCAGUCAGCUGCAGUCAGGGCAGGGGCGGCGAUGCAGCUGACUGUGAGCUUCCACUCGGAGGGAGCUGCCUCACCUCCCUCCUCCCACGCCCUCUCCCCCACCUGCUCCUCUGCCUGGCUGACACCAGGAAUGACUAACGGGAGUUUGGUCCCUGGCAGAAAGCAGGUACGGAACCAGGACUCACUGAGGGACUCUGGGCAAAAAUGCUUUUCUUUUCUGGGCCUCAGUUUCCUCAUUGAUACGGUGAGGCAGCUGGACCCCAAAUGACCUCUAGGGGCCAUGCCAGCUCUCACCCAUGAUUCUAUGAGAAGGAAAUAAACAGAUUUAAAA